UGGUAGAAAAGGUGAAGUGUGCCAAGAGCAAAAAACACCUCUAUUGAAUCAUCGCCAGUUGUUGUUUUUGAGUCUUUCCAUCGACUUGAUGAUAGGGUGCACCGGUAGGUAACCUUUGACGGCAGAGCGGUAUGCAGUGAAACUGUUGAAACAAACGGGACUGUGACUAAACGGAGAUCCGUUGGAUGACGAGCCUUAAUUUGAGAUCGAAAACUCAAACUCUAACGAUAGCUUCAAGGGGCUUCGGUGAGAUUUUAUCCAACGGCGAGUUCUGCCCCGAGUAGUGGAGUGUAUGUAGCCUUGCAGGAAGAGGGGGUUGUGUGCGACCGAAUUGCAGUUGGAAUGGCUGCAAGGAUCACCUGCUGAUCUUGGGAAUUAACUGUUCACCCGACAUUCAAUUUCUAGCAUGCAUGUGCAUACACAGUAACUAACUUGGAGAGUUCGUUGUUAUUGAUGCGUAGUCUGGACACCGCCGUUGCCUCUAGAAAUGCUAAACCAUGCAAUUGCGGGGAAGAGACUUGCUUUGGCGUGGACUUCGAAGUUCGGAACCGCGGCUUUGCCAUGAUUAUCCUUCAAUUUUCCCCUUUCCAUUCUCGCCACU
rnacentral:sRNA from 1 species